GAUGAACGCUAGCGGCAGGCUUAACACAUGCAAGUCGAGGGGUAUAGUUCUUCGGAACUAGAGACCGGCGCACGGGUGCGUAACGCGUAUGCAAUCUACCUUUUGCAGAGGGAUAGCCCAGAGAAAUUUGGAUUAAUACCUCAUAGUAUGUGAGAAUGGCAUCAUUUUCACAUUAAAGUCACAACGGCAAAAGAUGAGCAUGCGUCCCAUUAGCUUGUUGGUAAGGUAACGGCUUACCAAGGCAACGAUGGGUAGGGGUCCUGAGAGGGAGAUCCCCCACACUGGGACUGAGACACGGACCAGACUCCUACGGGAGGCAGCAGUGAGGAAUAUUGGACAAUGGGCGCAAGCCUGAUCCAGCCAUGCCGCGUGCAGGAUGACGGUCCUAUGGAUUGUAAACUGCUUUUGUACAGGAAGAAACACUGGUUCGUGAACCAGCUUGACGGUACUGUAAGAAUAAGGAUCGGCUAACUCCGUGCCAGCAGCCGCAGUAACAC
rnacentral:rRNA from 1 species